UCCGUAGGCGGGCAAUUAAGUCAGAGGUGAAAUCCCACAGCUCAACCGUGGAACUGCCUUUGAUACUGGUUGUCUUGAGUUACAGUGAAGUAGAUAGAAUAUGUAGUGUAGCGGUGAAAUGCAUAGAUAUUACAUAGAAUACCGAUUGCGAAGGCAGUCUACUAACUGUAUACUGACGCUAAUGGACGAAAGCGUGGGGAGCGAACAGGAUUAGAUACCCUGGUAGUCC
rnacentral:rRNA from 1 species